UACGGGGGGGGCAAGCGUUGUUGCGGAAUUACUGGGCGUAAAGUGUGCGCAGGCGGCCGCGCAAGUCGGGUGUGAAAGCCCCGGGCUCAACCUGGGAAAUUGCAUUCGAGACUGAAUAGCUAGGGUACGGUAGAGGGAAGCGGAAUUUCCGGUGUAGCGGUGAAAUGCGUAGAUAUCGGGAGGAACACCAGUGGCGAAGGGCGACUACCUGGCCUGUUCUUGACGCUGAGGCGCGAAAGCUAGGGGAGCAAACGGG
rnacentral:rRNA from 1 species